rnacentral:rRNA from 1 species
AUGCGCAGCUCCGCCGCAGCCAAUCCCGCGCCCCACCUCCACUUGGCAGAGCUCAACAGCUUUCCCCCUCCUCGCUCCUGCCUUCCCUUCCUCGUGAGGCGGGCCGAAACGGCUCUGAGGCGACGCGCACACUGUCAUUCAUCCCGCAGAUCCACGCAGAACCAACUCCAUUCUUUAGAGAUCCCGGAGCGGAUUUCGCACGGGAACCCACCGCCCACAAGCCGCCGCGUGAUCCUGCUCCUGCUCCUCGUCGUCGUCCUAGGGGCCAUGGGGAACAGCAUAUACAAGUUCCUGUGCGGGGUCUGCUCGGACCUCUCCGACGCCGCCUUCCAGCCGCACGGCGGGGACGCCUCCGUCGCCGCGCUCGGCCGCGACAUCCUCGAGUUCCAGCGCACCAAGCAGGUCCCCGAGGGCCUCAGCCGCCACGUCGUCUCCUCCGCCGCCGCGCAGGCCAACUGGUACAAGAAGCUGCAAGUGGCAUGGAAGAAGGCGAGGCCAGCCCCGACCACGCCGGAGGAGGCCGGCCGCCUCGUGGUGCUGACGCUGAAGAACCACCAGAAGGCGGACGUCGACGGCCUGCUCGCCUUCUACGGCCUCCCGCACCCGAACGAGGCGGGAUCGGCGCCGCCGCCCGCCGCCGGUCACCACGCCCCUCCGGCCCAGCACAGCGCCCCCGCGCACAAGCCGCAGGGCGUCAAGUUCGAGCUGCACACGCUCCCGGUGGACGCCAAGGCGGUGGCGGACGGCGACACGGUGACGGUGUACGUGGACACGAAUGACGCCCCCAGCGAGAUCAAGAAGGCCGCGGCGGAGCGCACCAAGGCGCGCGCCGCCAGGAACUACCCCACGGCCGACGCGCUCCAGAAGACCAUCGCCGCCGCGGGAUACAGAAUGGUUCCCAACGCCAAGGGCGUUGAGGUGCUCGCCAAGAAGUACAGGAUCAGGCUAAGUGGGAUCGACGCGCCGGAGAGCGCGAUGCCGUACGGGAAGGAGGCCACGGAGGCGCUGCUGAAGCUGGUGGAGGGCAAGUGCCUGACGGUGCACGUCUACAACACCGACCGCUACGGCCGGUCCGUCGGGGAUCUCCACGUCGGCGGGGUCUUCGUGCAGGAGCAAAUGCUGAAGAAAGGCUUCGCGUGGCACUACACCGCCUACGACAAACGCCCGGAGCUUGCCAAGUGGCAGAGCCAGGCGCAGGCCGCGCGCAAGGGCCUGUGGGCGGCGUCCAAGCCGCAGGAGCCGUGGGAGUACAGGAAGGCCAAGCGCAACGGCAACGCGUGA